AGAGUUUGAUCAUGGCUCAGGACGAACGCUGGCGGCGUGCUUAACACAUGCAAGUGGUGCGACGAACCAGGGCUUGCCCUGGGGCAAAGCCGCGAACGGGUGAGUAACACGUGAGUAAUCUGCCCCGAUGACCGGGACAACCCGAGGAAACUCGGGCUAAUACCGGAUGUGGCGCACAGGUGUAAGCCUGUUCGCUAAAGGAAGCUUCGGCCUCCGCAUUGGGAGGGGCUCGCGGCCCAUUAGCUUGUUGGUGGGGUAACGGCCUACCAAGGCAACGAUGGGUAGCUGGUCUGAGAGGACGAUCAGCCACACUGGGACUGAGACACGGCCCAGACUCCUACGGGAGGCAGCAGUGGGGAAUCUUGCGCAAUGCGCGAAAGCGUGACGCAGCAACGCCGCGUGGGGGAAGACGGCCUUCGGGUUGUAAACCCCUUUCAGGAGGGACGAAGGUUCACCGGUGAAUAGCCGUGUGGAUUGACGGUACCUCCACAAGAAGCUCCGGCUAACUACGUGCCAGCAGCCGCGGUAAUACGUAGGGAGCAAGCGUUGUCCGGAAUCAUUGGGCGUAAAGCGCGCGUAGGUGGCCUCAUAAGUCCGCUGUGAAAGUCAAAGGCUCAACCUUUGAAAGCCGGUGGAUACUGUGGGACUAGAGUACGGAAGAGGCGAGUGGAAUUCCUGGUGUAGCGGUGGAAUGCGCAGAUAUCAGGAGGAACACCAAUAGCGAAGGCAGCUCGCUGGGACGUUACUGACACUGAGGCGCGAAAGCGUGGGGAGCGAACNNGAUUAGAUACCCNNGUAGUCC
rnacentral:rRNA from 1 species